GAGCACUCAUCGGAAUCACCUGGAGAAGUUGUUAAAACACUGAUGGCUGGGCUCCACCCUCAUAAGUUCUGAUUUGGUAAGUUUCAGGGUAGGGACAGAGAAUUUGCAUUUCUGCCCAGUUCCCAGGUGAUGCUGAUGGUGCUGGGCUAAGAAUUACCGGAUGUGAGGAGGUAACCAACAGUGAAAGGCCCAUCCUUUUUCGGCAUUUUAAGUGGCUCUAACCUGACUUCCUGCUCACACGUUUCAAGUUAAGUCUUCCAGUUUACAUGGCCCGCCCUUGUGCUCAGAGCUGAGUCAUCCUUCUCACACAGGGAAGUUAUGAUUGUAACCAGCAGAAGAACUCAAAGCAGAAACGGCCAAAAGUGGCUGCCUCUGGAGAACAGCCACUUCUGUGUAUCGAGAUCAAGGUUGUGAAUGGAGCAUAAUAUAGGCAUGAGUAGCUAUUCUUUCAAGGAUACCAGUAAUUGAGUUAAAAUCAUCAUAGUGAGGUUGACAAAAUAUUAACCUAUGGCUUGCACCAAAAUUUGUCUUAGGAAGGGCACUGUUCCCCUUUGGAAAAAUAAUUUGAAAACAACCUGGGGAAGAAGCUCACCUCCCCUUCUCCUCAGGCCACCCCCCAAGCCCACCCCCCGCCACAAGGACCUCCAUGAAGGCUAGCACCAAGGCUCAAGAGAAAAUGGCUGAAAUGCUCUGCAAACAAAAAGAGCAGUCAUUGGACCUCCUUGGAAAACCCACCAAAGAGCAGAGAGUAGAAGGAUUGAGAAAUGAGUGCCACUGAGAGGGGCUGCAUUUUGAGCUGUCACCUCUCACCUGACAUCCUUCUUCACCUCCCAAGGCCCUCUUCAGUUAAGACUCACACAUACUCGUGCAAGUGAUUUUUUGAAGUGGAAACUAAAGCAGCUAUGACAUGGGAUGACCCAGACAACCCAAGAGGAAGUGGAAAGCCAAGGAGGCAGCAGAGGCUCGGAGAACGACAUAUGAUUAGUCCACCCUAGGGAGAUGUAGCAGAAAUCUUGGUUUUCACUUUCCACAGGCCCAGUUAUUAGAGAGUUGAAGGUAAUUUCACCUACAUCUCAGCCUCCAGUUGACACCCUGUCAUUUAAGAACUAGAAAAAAACCACCAAGUUCAUGUCAGGGAGCAAAUAUAUUCAAUCCUAUGAAAUUGCCAGAUGACCGAGGGCUCUGACCUCCUGAGAAGGACUUCACCUGCUGCAGAGAACUCUUCUUGGAAGGGGGGAUGGUUCAGCAGUGUCCAGAACCACCCGGGCUGGGAGCUAUAGACCAAAAGCUGAGUGUGUUCUUCAUGUGGAACAACUCGGAGAGCUCCUAGGCUGGCAGUCAUCUACGCAGAAACCAGAAAAGCCAAGUCUGACCCAUUGCAGGAGCUUCUCUAAGUAAAUAAGUAAAUUUAAAAAAAACCCUUAUAGCUAUUUUUGGCCUGAUUCACUCUAUAACCAUUAUUUCAUUUACCAUCUGAAGAACAGGGACUCUGAUUCAAAUAAUACUUAUUCUUCAUUUGGUUCUGGCCAUCAUUCCCCACUAACACCGAGGAAAUAACCUGAAGUUCUGCCAUUAAUACAAAGUUAUUAUUAUUCCAUUUGCUCAAGAACUUAAUGGAUUCUAUUCAUCAAUACAUUUCUUUCACAAUUCAAGUUUGUAUCUUUUUUUUUAAAAGCAUUUCCAUUUCUCUUCACAAUUGCAAGGCUAGGUUGAAUUAACAUUUUUUCCUCCCUUUCUAUGGCCAAUUCUUCUUUUCAUUUAUUAAUUACCUGCUUGACUCAUUUGCAGACCUAGCAUAAAAUCAACCUCAUGCUCUCUGUCCUGAAUAAUUAGCUGUUUCCUUUAUGGAUCAAAUGGAAGGGCUUGUCAUCAGAUUCUUCAAUAAGACAGCUUUCAAAAAGAAUAACACUAUUACCUUAAGGAAAACUAUUCUCUAAUUUGUCAGAAAAACAAUCUGAAGAGAAAUGUAUGGUCAUUUUGUCUUGCGAUCCAAAGUCCAGUUUAAUUCUGCUCUCUUUGUCUCCACCCUGAAGAGGAUGUUAGGCAGCACAGACGUCCACGUUGGCUGGCGUGUGUUACAUUUGUCCUCCUAUCGCUCAGGAACAAGGACCACAUGUCUGGCUCAGGGAGGCAAAGUGGGACUGAAAUACCAAACACAUUCACUUGCCAAAUUCCAGGAUAUUAGGAUCUUGGUUUAAUCUGUUCCGAAUUAUAACCGAGUAGAGAAAAGUCUGUUUUUCUAUAUCUGUAGCCAUGGGAAUAUUUAGCAAGAGGAAAAUUCUUGUUCCUCAGCUCCCUCUGCUGGCCUUUCAGAAAACCAUUUGUCCCCUUACUAGCAGAUCUCGUGCUUUGUGAGCAUAGAGGGCCAACUUCCUCCCAAAUGUGAGCUGAUAGGGAAGACAGGUCCACAUCAACUGGGAAAAACUCCUCAAGAAACCCAGUGCUCCAAAAGAUAAUAAUGGAAGAGAGGCAGGCCUUCCUAAUGGUGAGUGCAAACUGCCAGGCAGAUUCUCCAGCCCACUAGACAAAGCAGCAAGCCAGAGAUGGGGCCUAGGCACGUUUAUUCUGAAAAAGACUCCCAGGUGAUCCUGGUUAGGAACCGCAGGUCCUAAAGUUAUGUUUUAUGUCAAAGACAUAUUCUGGUGGCUACAGUUCGCAUUUCUAUGUAUUUUGCAGGCUUAAUGUGUUGAGGGGGGUGGCUAAUCAUUAACCUGACCCAAUAUGCUUGGUUAUUUAAUGGCACAUAUACCCUUGUUUCCUCAGACUUAAAACCCCACUUCCAUUUCUUCAUGCUUCUUAUCCUCCUCGAAGAUUCUCAGGAACUGAUAAGAGCAAUUCAGAGAGGCAUUCAGCUCUGCACCCAAGUUUCUGAAGGCUGCUGCUUUCCUGUCUUUGGUUUUCUCAAGUCUUCUCCUUAAGGGUUUUGCUAGUGUCAAUGCGUUUCCUCUGAAUGACAGAAGGGUCACAUUUCCCAACCUUCUGACUGCCGUUCCUCGUGCAUGAGAGCAGCGAAGACCGGGCAGGUGCUGAAUGACACACACAGCAUACUGAGCCCACAGGCCUGAGGUCUACACAUCAAACCUAUCCCUGGCAAGAGAAGACGUCUUGGCAUGUCAGCUCAGGGACCUAAGAGAUUGCUUCUCACUGGCCAGGGCACAAUUUACCCUCAAAUUCUAUUUACCCCAGUCAGAGCUACACCGAGAAAAAUAGUUUCACGGCUCUGAGUU
rnacentral:lncRNA from 1 species